AUGGAAGGAGAUCGGGAAGGAGCAAGGUAUAUCUGGGGAGGGGUCUCCACAAACUCUGUAGAAGGUUGUAGAGAUCCCUGCCUCCUGUCUCUUCCCACUCUGCUGCCGAGAUUAUUUUGUUUUACAAAAUGUUCAGUCCAUGUUUCCAUGUCUCCUGACUCCUCAAGAACUUCCAGUCUUUGCCCACCCACUUCCACAAGCAGAAACUCCUUAACAAUGGUUUUAAAGCACUCAAUCACCUUGCCCCCUCUGCCUCACCUCACUACUCUCCCACUUCAGCCUCACCUGCACCCUGCUUUCCUCUAAUGCCAACCUACUCGCUGUACCCCGAUCCCAUUUAUCUUGCAGUCAACCUCUCUCCCACAUCCUGCCUCUAGUCUAGAACACUCUCCCUCUUCACAUUCGACAAUUACUCUCCCCACCUUCAGAACCUUAUUGAAGGCACAUCUUCUCCAAGAGACCUUCCUCAUUAAAUUCUCAUUUCCUUUUCUCCCACUUCAUCCUGUGUAGCCCUGAUUUACUCCUUUUAUUUGCCCCCUCUACAACAGCCCCACAUCACUUAUGUACAUAUCCAUAGUUUAUUUAUAUUGUCUGUCUCCCCCUCUUGACUGCUAGAUCCUUGUGGGGCAGGGAAUGUGUCUGGUAUAUUGUUGUGCUGUACUCUCCUAAGCUCUCUGUACAGUGCUCUGCACACAGUAAGUGCUCAAUAAAUACAAUUGAUUGAAUGAUUCUAUCCAGAAAUGCUUUUUUGGAACUUAAAAUGGCUAGUACAAUAAUUUAUCAUCACUGCAUUCAGAACAGAUAUUCACAAUGCAAAUUAUUGAUUCCUGUAUUUGAACAACCAUAGCAAAUGGGAUCUUUUAUUUCCAUUUUCAGUUUACUUGCCUAGAACUCCAGAUUGAGGAACAUGGUCUGUUCCCUGGCACUUUAAGAAGCCUGGAUAUUCUCUACAGCUCAAAUAUUGUAGCUAAAUAUAGCCACCUGCAACAUCGAUUCAGCCAUAAGGCUUUA
rnacentral:lncRNA from 1 species